rnacentral:snRNA from 1 species
CAUAAAUACAUGUAAACAA